rnacentral:lncRNA from 1 species
UUUUUUUCCAUCUUCGUUCAAUAUGCUGGUUUACCAAGAUCACCUCUCAGGUAUUCAUUAAUUUACUUCUAUUAAGACACUACAAGAAAUAAGACCUUGUAUGACGGUCAUUAGAUGGCGGAUUUCCGCCGUCAUAAGUGAUCAAUGGCGGAAAUCCACAAUCUAAAGACUGUCAUAACGACCACCGCCAUUAUAACCCCAUUACCGCCAUCUAUUAUUCAUCCCCAUAUUCCACCAAAAAAUAUAUAUAUAGCGGAUUUCCGCCAUCUAAUCUGAAAAUUUUCGCGGGAACUGAAAAUUAUAAGAUGGCGGACGUCCGCCAUGUUAAAUAUGGCGCGAAAAAAGUUGGCGCCAAUUUAUCGAUGACGGUUAAUUUUAUUGAUGGCGGAUGUCCGUCGACUAUCUUUGAAACAUAAGAUGGCGGAUAGCUGGGAGAGGGCGGUUGGCCCCGUAUAUAGAUGGCGGACGUCCGCCAUGUAAACGUUGGUGAAAUAGUAUCGAUGGCGGAUUUCCGCCAUACAAUGUGUGCACAAUUUUUUUUUUAAAACAAGCUAUUAUAUCGAGCGUUUGAAUCGUUAUUUUUAAGAAAUAGAAUACGAUAUUUGAAAAGAUGAUUUUGAAAUUGAAAUCGAUGUUUUUAAUAAAUAGAAACUGAAAUACAGAAUCGUUAAACAUUCGAAGUUUAAACAUUAAAAUACAAGUUUACAAUAAUCAACACUCCUCGUACAUAAAGUCGUCUGAAUCAGAAUCGAUCAGAAUCUGAAUGAUCAAUAGCAGAUGGUAUCAUGCUGGACUUCGAAGUGGAAGGCAUGUUCGUCAAGUCGAGGCCGGAAGACUUCAAAACUUUAAUUAUCUCUUUGAAAUAAGAUUUCAUUGAAUUAAACUUCUUGUAUUUGGAUAUACCUUUUUGACUCUUUUUACACUUGUUCUGAAAAUGAAAAUAAAAAUAAAUUCGAUAAUCAAUAAAAUUAUUGAAUUAUAUUUAAAAUACCUCUAAUUCCUUGAAUUUUUCCGAUCAAAUUUCUUGUGAUUGAUCAUUAGUUGUGUUUUCGGAGACAGACUCUUUUCCUUUCCAAUUUGGAGAAGCCCAUCUUUCGUUCGUUGUACUAA